AAUGCAGUCGAGCGAAGAGAUGGGAGCUUGCUCCCUGAUCUUAGCGGCGGACGGGUGAGUAACACGUGGGCAACCUGCCCUGCAGACUGGGAUAACUCCGGGAAACCGGAGCUAAUACCGGGUAAUACAUCGCACCGCAUGGUGCAAUGUUGAAAGUUGGCUUUCUGAGCUAACACUGCAGGAUGGGCCCGCGGCGCAUUAGCUAGUUGGUAAGGUAAUGGCUUACCAAGGCGACGAUGCGUAGCCGACCUGAGAGGGUGAUCGGCCACACUGGGACUGAGACACGGCCCAGACUCCUACGGGAGGCAGCAGUAGGGAAUCUUCCGCAAUGGACGAAAGUCUGACGGAGCAACGCCGCGUGAGUGACGAAGGCCUUCGGGUCGUAAAGCUCUGUUGUUAGGGAAGAACAAGUACCGUUCGAAUAGGGCGGUACCUUGACGGUACCUAACCAGAAAGCCACGGCUAACUACGUGCCAGCAGCCGCGGUAAUACGUAGGUGGCAAGCGUUGUCCGGAAUUAUUGGGCGUAAAGCGCGCGCAGGCGGUCUUUUAAGUCUGAUGUGAAAGCCCACGGCUCAACCGUGGAGGGUCAUUGGAAACUGGAGGACUUGAGUGCAGAAGAGGAGAGUGGAAUUCCACGUGUAGCGGUGAAAUGCGUAGAUAUGUGGAGGAACACCAGUGGCGAAGGCGGCUCUCUGGUCUGUAACUGACGCUGAGGCGCGAA
rnacentral:rRNA from 2 species